UUUCCUUUUCCUUCAAAUGAGGCUUUGUCUGUUUUCUCAGCUGGUGACAGUGGCAGUCUGUGCUGGAGCCAGUGAUGUUAUUGCCUUAUGAGGAACCCAAGUUACUCAGUUUUCACUGUGUAGGAAGACAGUUAACAGUCACUGAACAGCAGAAGCUUUCUGCUCAGGUGCUUGGCUUGGCCUCAAGAUUCUCACUGGCAAGGGACAUCUCUCUGUCAUUCUUAAUGGACAAUAGCAGCCCCAAGCCAAAGGUAGAAGUAUGUAAUGGUACUCACUGGAGCUUUUUUGAAGAACACUUCAAGG
rnacentral:lncRNA from 1 species